GACGAACGCUGGCGGCGUGCCUAAUACAUGCAAGUCGAGCGACGAAGCUUGGUGCUUGCACCCAUUUGAAGAGCAGCGAACGGGUGAGUAACGCGUGGGGAAUCUGCCUUUGAGUGGGGGACAACAUCUGGAAACGAAUGCUAAUACCGCAUAAUAACUUUAAACAUAAGUUUUAAGUUUGAAAGAUGCAAUUGCCUAACUCAAUGAUGAUUCCGCGUUUUAUUAGCUAGUUGGUGAGGUAAAAGCCAAACAAGGCGAUGAUACAUAGUCGACCUGAGUGGGUGGACGGCCACAUUGGGACGGGGACACCGCCCAAACUCCUACGGGGAGCAGCCAUAGGGAAACUUCGGCCAUGGGGGGAAGGCUUGCCGAAGAACGCCGCGGGAGGUGAGAAAGGUUUCGGAUCGGAAAACCCUGUUUGUAGGGAAAAAAAAUGGGGAGAGUGAAAAGCUCAUCAAGUGACGGUAACUAAACAGAAAGCGACGGCUAACUACGUG
rnacentral:rRNA from 1 species